UUGUCCUCUGGAGUUCCCUCAAAACAUUUCAGCAGGUAAACCCUACUGCGGCUGCACAAUUUAGGAUGCGAUACGAGCUGCUGAAGUGUUUGGAGGAACUCUGGAUGCAU
rnacentral:pre_miRNA from 1 species